UUUAUGGAGAGUUUGAUCCUGGCUCAGGAUGAACGCUGGCGGCGUGCCUAAUACAUGCAAGUCGAGCGAACGGACGAGAAGCUUGCUUCUCUGAUGUUAGCGGCGGACGGGUGAGUAACACGUGGAUAACCUACCUAUAAGACUGGGAUAACUUCGGGAAACCGGAGCUAAUACCGGAUAAUAUUUUGAACCGCAUGGUUCAAAAGUGAAAGACGGUCUUGCUGUCACUUAUAGAUGGAUCCGCGCUGCAUUAGCUAGUUGGUAAGGUAACGGCUUACCAAGGCAACGAUGCAUAGCCGACCUGAGAGGGUGAUCGGCCACACUGGAACUGAGACACGGUCCAGACUCCUACGGGAGGCAGCAGUAGGGAAUCUUCCGCAAUGGGCGAAAGCCUGACGGAGCAACGCCGCGUGAGUGAUGAAGGUCUUCGGAUCGUAAAACUCUGUUAUUAGGGAAGAACAUAUGUGUAAGUAACUGUGCACAUCUUGACGGUACCUAAUCAGAAAGCCACGGCUAACUACGUGCCAGCAGCCGCGGUAAUACGUAGGUGGCAAGCGUUAUCCGGAAUUAUUGGGCGUAAAGCGCGCGUAGGCGGUUUUUUAAGUCUGAUGUGAAAGCCCACGGCUCAACCGUGGAGGGUCAUUGGAAACUGGAAAACUUGAGUGCAGAAGAGGAAAGUGGAAUUCCAUGUGUAGCGGUGAAAUGCGCAGAGAUAUGGAGGAACACCAGUGGCGAAGGCGACUUUCUGGUCUGUAACUGACGCUGAUGUGCGAAAGCGUGGGGAUCAAACAGGAUUAGAUACCCUGGUAGUCCACGCCGUAAACGAUGAGUGCUAAGUGUUAGGGGGUUUCCGCCCCUUAGUGCUGCAGCUAACGCAUUAAGCACUCCGCCUGGGGAGUACGACCGCAAGGUUGAAACUCAAAGGAAUUGACGGGGACCCGCACAAGCGGUGGAGCAUGUGGUUUAAUUCGAAGCAACGCGAAGAACCUUACCAAAUCUUGACAUCCUUUGACAACUCUAGAGAUAGAGCCUUCCCCUUCGGGGGACAAAGUGACAGGUGGUGCAUGGUUGUCGUCAGCUCGUGUCGUGAGAUGUUGGGUUAAGUCCCGCAACGAGCGCAACCCUUAAGCUUAGUUGCCAUCAUUAAGUUGGGCACUCUAAGUUGACUGCCGGUGACAAACCGGAGGAAGGUGGGGAUGACGUCAAAUCAUC
rnacentral:rRNA from 1 species